GAUGAACGCUAGCGGCAGGCCUAACACAUGCAAGUCGAGGGGCAUCGCGGGUAGCAAUACCUGGUGGCGACCGGCGCAAGGGUGCGUAACGCGUGAGCAACAUGCCCUAUACAGGGGGAUAAUCCAGGGAAACUUGGUCUAAUAUCCCAUAGUAUUUAGAGGUGGCAUCACCACUAAAUUAAAGCUUCGGUGGUAUAGGAUUGGCUCGCGUGACAUUAGCUGGAUGGUGGGGUAACGGCUCACCAUGGCGAUGAUGUCUAGGGGUUCUGAGAGGAAGGCCCCCCACACUGGGACUGAGACACGGCCCAGACUCCUACGGGAGGCAGCAGUGAGGAAUAUUGGACAAUGGAUGGAAAUCUGAUCCAGCCAUGCCGCGUGCAGGAAGACGGCCCUAUGGGUUGUAAACUGCUUUUAUAUGGGAGCAAUAAGGUUUACGCGUAGACCGAUGAGAGUACCAUAUGAAUAAGCAUCGGCUAACUCCG
rnacentral:rRNA from 1 species